CAGUAGCGCGGUAAUACGAAGGGUGCAAGCGUUAAUCGGAAUUACUGGGCGUAAAGCGCGCGUAGGUGGUUCAUUAAGUUGGAUGUGAAAGCCCUGGGCUCAACCUGGGAAUUGCAGUGGAUACUGGGUCACUAGAGUGUGGUAGAGGAUAGUGGAAUUUCCGGUGUAGCAGUGAAAUGCGUAGAGAUCGGAAGGAACAUCUGUGGCGAAGGCGACUAUCUGGGCCAACACUGACACUGAGGCACGAAAGCGUGGGGAGCAAACAGGAUUAGAUACCCCCGUAGUCCCUGUCUCUUAUACC
rnacentral:rRNA from 1 species